rnacentral:rRNA from 1 species
AACGAACGCUGGCGGCAUGCCUAACACAUGCAAGUCGAACGAGACCUUCGGGUCUAGUGGCGCACGGGUGCGUAACGCGUGGGAACCUGCCCUUAGGUUCGGAAUAACUCCCCGAAAGGGGUGCUAAUACCGGAUAAUGUCUUCGGACCAAAGAUUUAUCGCCUUUGGAUGGGCCCGCGUUGGAUUAGCUAGUUGGUAGGGUAAAAGCCUACCAAGGCGACGAUCCAUAGCUGGUCUGAGAGGAUGAUCAGCCACACUGGGACUGAGACACGGCCCAGACUCCUACGGGAGGCAGCAGUGGGGAAUAUUGGACAAUGGGCGAAAGCCUGAUCCAGCAAUGCCGCGUGAGUGAUGAAGGCCUUAGGGUUGUAAAGCUCUUUUACCCGGGAUGAUAAUGACAGAACCGGGAGAAUAAGCUCCGGCGAACUCCGU